UGGGGAAUCUUAGACAAUGGGCGCAAGCCUGAUCUAGCCAUGCCGCGUGAGUGAUGAAGGCCUUAGGGUCGUAAAGCUCUUUCGCCUGUGAAGAUAAUGACUGUAGCAGGUAAAGAAACCCCGGCUAACUCCGUGCCAGCAGCCGCGGUAAUACGGAGGGGGUUAGCGUUGUUCGGAAUUACUGGGCGUAAAGCGCGCGUAGGCGGACAUUUAAGUCAGAGGUGAAAUCCCAGGGCUCAACCCUGGAACUGCCUUUGAUACUGGGUGUCUUGAGUUCGAGAGAGGUGAGUGGAAUUCCGAGUGUAGAGGUGAAAUUCGUAGAUAUUCGGAGGAACACCAGUGGCGAAGGCGGCUCACUGGCUCGAUACUGACGCUGAGGUGCGAAAGUGUGGGGAGCAAACAGGAUUAGAUACCCUGGUAGUCCACACCGUAAACGAUGAAUGCCAGACGUCGGGCAGUAUACUGUUCGGUGUCACACCUAACGGAUUAAGCAUUCCGCCUGGGGAGUACGGUCGCAAGAUUA
rnacentral:rRNA from 1 species